AUUGGACAAGCCGCGUCAUGUGACCAUCCUCCAACUGGAGUUUCCACGACAGCUGGGAGCCGUGCGAUACCUCCUCGCGUAUUGCUUUCUUAAAGAAUACGUAGGGACUGUCCUUAUUUCAACAUCCGCAAACAAACUUUUGGCGGCAUGGGAGACAAGAAGAGUCCAACCAGGCCGAAGCGUCAACCAAAGCCUUCGGCGGAAGAGGGAAAUUGGGACUGUAGCGUUUGCACAUACAAGAACACCGCGGAGGCUUUCAAGUGCAUGAUGUGCGAUGUAAGGAAAGGGACGUCAACACGGAAGCCUCGUCCUGUCUCCCAGCUGGUUGCUCAGCGGGUAGCGCCGCAGUUCGCCUCGCCCACGCUGCUGCCCAAGAAGGACAAGAAGGACAGAACGGACCAGGAGAAGAAUGACAAAGAGCCCACAGUGAAGAAGAACAGCCACAAGAAGAUGAGGCCCAGGUUAAAAAAAUAUUGACAGGAGCAGCGCUCAGCACCUAGAGGUCACGGUUGGAGACCUGACUGUCAUCAUCACAGACUUUAAGGAGAAAACCAAACCUCCCCCCUCCUCCACCAGCACCACCACACCCCCCUCCUCUACCACCCCCUCCAGCACUGUGUCUGUGUCUGCAGAACACCACAGUGGCUCCAGCUCAGACAACAACACUGAGAGAGGGGUCUCACGGUCAACUUCACCCCGAGGAGAGGGCUUCUUAGUCGGGACAGAGUCCCAUUAGACCACCCCCCUUGGAGCCCCAGACCGCCCCCCCAAGUUGGAGGCCCUGGACCAAACUCCUAGCCCAACAGACCCUCAGACCGCCAACCCCUAGACCUUGGCCUGGAUUCCCGACCCCUAGAUCUUGGCCUGGACCCCCUUGGCCUGGACCUCCAACCCCUAGACCUUGGCCUUGAUCCCCAACCCCUAGAUCUUGACCUGGAUCCCCAACCCCUAGAUCUUGACCUGGAUCCCCAACCCCUAGAUCUUGAUCUGGAUCCCCAACCCCUAGACCUUGAUCUGGAUCCCCGACCCCUAGAUCUUGGCCUGGACCCCACUUGGCCUGGACCCCCAACCCCUAGACCUUGGCCUGGAUCCCCAACCCCUAGAUCUUGAUCUGGAUCCCCAACCCCUAGACCUUGAUCUGGAUCCCCAACCCCUAGACCUUGAUCUGGAUCCCCAACCCCUAGACCUUGAUCUGGAUCCCCAACCCCUAGAUCUUGACCUGGAUCCCCAACACCUAGACCUUGACCUGGAUCCCCAACCCCUAGACCUUGACCUGGAUCCCCAACCCCUGGACCUUGGCCUGGACACCCGACUCCUGGACCUUGCCCUGGAUCCCCGACCCCUAGACCUUGGCCUGGAUCCCCGACCCCUAGACCUUGGCCUGGAUCCCCGACCCCUAGACCUUGGCCUGGAUCCCCUAGACCUUGGCCUGGACCCCUGACCCCUAGACCCUGGAUAUGACUACUCAUGGCUUAACAUAGGCCACUCUAACCUCACUCCUCUGUCCUCAACUCGGAUAUGUAAUGUUAUCUCUGGACUUGCACAUUUACUGUAGUACUAGCUACAGGUUAUAGCUAGAUCAACACAUUUAGCAGCUACAGGUUAUAGCUAGAUCAACACAUUUAGCAGCUACAGGUUAUAGCUAGAUCAACACAUUUAGCAGCUACAGGUUACAGCUAGAUCAACACAUUUAGCAGCUACAGGUUAUAGCUAGAUCAACACAUUUAGCAGCUACAGGUUUCAGCUAGAUCAACACAUUUAGCAGCUACAGGUUACUGCUAGAUCAACACAUUUAGCAGCUACAGGUUAUAGUUAGAUCAACACAUUUAGCAGCUACAGGUUUCAGCUAGAUCAACACAUUUAGCAGCUACAGGUUACUGCUAGAUCAACACAUUUAGAAGCUACAGGUUAUAGUUAGAUCAACACAUUUAGCAGCUACAGGUUAUAGCUAGAUCAACACAUUUAGCAGCUACAGGUUACAGCUAGAUCAACACAUUUAGCAGCUACAGGUUAUAGCUAGAUCAACACAUUUAGCAGCUACAGGUUUCAGCUAGAUCAACACAUUUAGCAGCUACAGGUUACAGCUAGAUCAACACAUUUAGCAGCUACAGGUUAUAGCUAGCACUACUACUACCAACCUUGAGUUGUGGUUUGCUUUUGGACAAAAAAACACCACAAUCUGAAGUCUUGUUUUAAUGAAAUUUCUCUGAUUAACUUUAGGUCAAUUUAACUGACUUUUAAAAACUAUUUUUUGAAACCUGUGUUCUAAACAUGAAGUAAUGUCAUUACAUUUAGCUGAUCUUAGCCUAUUGUACAGCUCUGUUUUAAUGUGUUAUAACAUCACGUCAGUGUUAGUAUCCAUGUCAACAUCGGGACAUUCAACCUCCUGUCCAAUGAGAACUGUCGUGACAUGAUGAUUAUGGUUCAGAGUUCUUCAGUUUGUGUUGCAUUAUGGAAGAAAACAUGAGGUACAUGCGGAGAGGAUUGAAAACCUAUGGGUUCUCUUUUGGUACUUGUCUCUCAGUUGUAAAGUGUCAUUUAUUGAUUGAAUGUGUUGGAGACUGAAUUGUAUUGUCAUUGACUCACAUCAGCCGGGACCUGGUGUGGUUUUAUCAUUCAUGAGAAAAUAUUCUUCAAAACAACGUCUGUUUUUGAAUUGUGUCCGUUUUAACACCACCUCAAAUGGUACUGUAUCACAACAUUCACUGUUACAUUUUCUAUAAUUUGUUUUGUUUCUACCAAGCUUUGCUGUUUAGAAAUGUAUGGACAACUUGGUUGAUUACAUGGUUCAAUGUCUAUAAAGAAAGAUAUAAAUAAUGGCA